UACGUAGGGUGCAAGCGUUUAAUCGGAAUACUGGGCGUAAAGCGUGCGCAGGCGGCUUUGCAAGACAGAUGUGAAAUCCCCGGGCUUAACCUGGGAACUGCAUUUGUGACUGCAUGGCUGGAGUGCGGCAGAGGGGGAUGGAAUUCCGCGUGUAGCAGUGAAAUGCGUAGAUAUGCGGAGGAACACCGAUGGCGAAGGCAAUCCCCUGGGCCUGCACUGACGCUCAUGCACGAAAGCGUGGGGAGCAAACAGG
rnacentral:rRNA from 1 species